rnacentral:rRNA from 1 species
GUAGGUGGCAAGCGUUGUCCGGAAUUAUUGGGCGUAAAGCGCGCGCAGGGCGGUCCUUUAAGUCUGAUGUGUAAGCCCACGGCUCAACCGUGGAGGGUCAUUGGAAACUGGGGGACUUGAGUACAGAAGAGGAAAGCGGAAUUCCAAGUGUAGCGGUGAAAUGCGUAGAGAUUUGGAGGAACACCAGUGGCGAAGGCGGCUUUCUGGUCUGUAACUGACGCUGAGGCGCGAAAGCGUGGGGAGCAAACAGGAUUAGAUACCCUGGUAGUCCACGCCGUAAACGAUGAGUGCUAAGUGUUAGGGGGUUUCCGCCCCUUAGUGCUGCGGCUAACGCAUUAAGCACUCCGCCUGGGGAGUACGGCCGCAAAGGCUG